rnacentral:rRNA from 1 species
AUUGAACGCUGGCGGCAGGCCUAACACAUGCAAGUCGAACGAGUGGCGGACGGGUGAGUAAUGUCUGGGAAACUGCCUGAUGGAGGGGGAUAACUACUGGAAACGGUAGCUAAUACCGCAUACCAUCAGAUGUGCCCAGCUGGGAUUAGCUUGUUGGUGGGGUAACGGCUCACCAAGGCGACGAUCCCUAGCGGGUCUGAGAGGAUGACCAGCCAAACUGGAACGGAGACACGGUCAAGACUCCAACGGGAGGAGGCAGUGGGGAAUAUUGCAAAAGGGGCGCAAGCCUGAUGCAGCCAGGCCGCGUGUAUGAAGAGGGCCUUCGGGUUGUAAAGUACUUUCAGCGGGGAGGCGUUACCCGCAGAAGAAGCAACGGCUAACUCCGUGCCAGCAGCCGCGGUAAUAC